rnacentral:rRNA from 1 species
UACGUAGGAUGCAAGCGUUAUCCGGAAUUAUUGGGCGUAAAGCGUCCGCAGGUGGCUGUGUAAGUCUGCUGUCAAAGAGCAAAGCUCAACUUUGUAAAGGCAGUGGAAACUACACGGCUAGAGUGCGUUCGGGGCAGAGGGAAUUCCUGGUGUAGCGGUGAAAUGCGUAGAGAUCAGGAAGAACAUCGGUGGCGAAGGCGAUCUGCUGGACCAUAACUGACACUCAGGGACGAAAGCUAGGGGAGCGAAUGGG